rnacentral:rRNA from 1 species
UUACAGUGAAGAGUUUGAUCCUGGCUCAGGAUGAACGCUAGCUACAGGCUUAACACAUGCAAGUCGAGGGGCAGCAUGAUCGAAGCUUGCUUUGAUUGAUGGCGACCGGCGCACGGGUGAGUAACGCGUAUCCAACCUUCCCUAUAGUAGAGAAUAGCCCGGCGAAAGUCGGAUUAAUGCUCUAUGUUGUAUUUAGAAGACAUCUGAAGAAUACCAAAGGUUUACCGCUAUAGGAUGGGGAUGCGUCUGAUUAGGUAGUAGGCGGGGUAACGGCCCACCAAGCCGACGAUCAGUAGGGGUUCUGAGAGGAAGGUCCCCCACAUUGGAACUGAGACACGGUCCAAACUCCUACGGGAGGCAGCAGUGAGGAAUAUUGGUCAAUGGACG